AUAAGCGAUAUAGUGGUUUGAAAUUUACGUGACGUCACAGUGAGCUGCGCCCUCCCUUCUCCUUACUUUUUCCUGUGUCAUUGAACACAACUCGAGACUUUCGAAACCUCCCACUCAGUAUCGGAUGAAUAACACAGUUUGAUGUUUUGCUUGUUCUGCUGACGGACACGUUAAAGACGUCUGCGCUCCCGUUUCUGUGCAUGUCCAGCAUGAGACAACUGGAAUUCAACCACAUUGAACACCGACUUCAGGGACAGACGAGCCUGAAGGACACAGCUGUGAUGACCAUGUUCUGUCUCUUAUGGCAAAGCAGAAAUAUAAAACACUGGGUUCUUAUCUAAAGUGUAUCAAAUCAGAUCUCCACCAUGUUGCUGCUGAGGACAUCAGGUGCUGCAGUUCUUCAUCUAUGAAGAGAAAAAACGCACUGUUAAAGAAUGUUUUGUGUUGUGUAUAAAGCACAACAGAUUUCUGAUAGAACUGUUGUACUGUGGUCUUGGUUUAUAUCCUCAUGGUGAAAUGUACAUAUUUUAAGUCCCUUCUGAUAAAAGUGCUGAAAGAAAUACAACAUUGUACAAAUACAUAAAAUGUCUUUCUACCUCAUCAGUACUAUUCAAGGUGAUAAUCUCCCACAGACCUAUUGAUAACAGUCCAAAUCAAGUCUUUCCACUUCUCUCAGUGUGAAAACAUAAUUCUAUAAUUAAUUUGAGAACUGUUUACAACACUGAUGUGUGGAGAUUAAAAUCAUACCUAAACUGUCUAAUUCACUGUAAAACUCCAUGACAUUCGCAGGCCAUCUGUAGUUAAGGGAGCAACGCAUGGAAUGAUGUGUAGAUUACUAGUUUGAUGAUGCAUGAGGAGAGGCGGUGGUCGAGUGGCAGAAACUUGGACUAUGGGCAGAGAAGGUCUCUGGUUCGUCUUUGGUUCGACUCCAUGGAGAGACAACAAAAGUCGAACCUGGAUUGAUCUGUCCAAAAAUCCAAGAGUCUCCCUACCCUCUCUAGUGCCCAUGAGCAAGGCACCUCACUCCCCCAACAUCUGCUCCCCCGAGCGCCGUACAUGGUCGCUCACUGCUCUGUGUGUCCUGCACCAGAUGGGUAAAAAGCAGCGAUUAAAUUUCCCUACCUGCAUGAGUGUGCCUUUGCAUGUCUGUGCAUGUGUUUGGGAUGAAUAAAUGGAUUUUAAUCUUAA